UCCCCACCACGACUCCGCUCCGUUCGUCUUCGAACAGCGGCACAACGGCAACGGGUAUGCUCUGCCAAUCUCCGCCCUCUGCAUUGAACACAAUAAAGCCGGCCUUGAAGGCGGGAGAAACUGCUCGGACAAUUUGUUCUGCCGCCGCCGUCUUAAAGGCACGCGAUGGUGCUCUCAUCUACCGCAUGGUUUUCUGACAUUUAUGGAGACUGUUCGAUGUAUCUCUACAUUUAUCGAGUAGAAACUGUUCGGUCCAACUGAGCCAUCGCCGUCUCCAUGUUAAAAACCACCCCCGUGCUGCCAUUGACAUCGACCGCACCCUCCUACUCCAUCUAUGGCACUGGUCUCCACCAUGGUAGCUCACGUUUUUAGCCUCUCUUUCUUUUGUGAAUUCCUCAACAUGUGUUUCUUAAUCUUCCAGGUUACGCUCUGGCCUGGCUCGAAAGCUGCUUGAUGUUUUGCCACACACGAUUUGAUUGGAUUGUAUGUGCUGCUUUCUCAAGCCCCUCCGAUUUGAUUGGGUUUCGACUGGAUUCUGCAGGUUAGAUUCUACAUCUAUUAACGGGAGAGAUCUUGAUCGCUCCUUUGUGGUAUGCCUUUUCUCUGUUUAUUUUUCGUCAUCCUGCCAAACAAUUAUGUACAAGACCCUUGUGGCCCUUCGGGGAUCAGGGUUACCAUCAUACAGUAUAAUCUACUCUGAAGUAUUUGUUUUGUGGCCCAGAUGUCAACAAUAUGGUCUCAGCUUUCAAUUGUCAAAAUAGUGAAUGUUUUUAGGCCAAAGGACUAAUCAGCUUUGUGGAUAUCAUUGCGUGAAGUUUGGUGCUGCAAACUGGUUUAUAUACAAUGUAAUCUGACUGAUUAAUGCAUGGUAUACGUACUUCACACCAUAGAGACUUCAGCUGGGAGUCUUUUUUUAGAGGAAAUCCAAUACCGAUUUUUUUUAGUAUUUCCUUAUUUGAGGUAUACUGCUGGGAAAAUUAGAUGUUGGAUAUAUCAACACAGGUUACCAUGUACGUACCACAGGUUAUUGCUUUUCAGAUAUUGUAAACCUGACCCAUGAUGUUAUCAUAAUCUUAUAUUAUCUAACUGCAUUUAAAAUACAUGCGAAGUUCUAUGUUUUCUGAUUCUGAUUUCUAAU